GAGCGAACGGGGAGCAGCCCAGAGCCUGAAUCAGUGUGUGUGUUAGUGGAAGCGUCUGGAAAGGCGCGCGAUACAGGGUGACAGCCCCGUACACAAAAAUGCACAUGCUGUGAGCUCGAUGAGUAGGGCGGGACACGUGGUAUCCUGUCUGAAUAUGGGGGGACCAUCCUCCAAGGCUAAAUACUCCUGACUGACCGAUAGUGAACCAGUACCGUGAGGGAAAGGCGAAAAGAACCCCGGCGAGGGGAGUGAAAAAGAACCUGAAACCGUGUACGUACAAGCAGUGGGAGCACGCUUAGGCGUGUGACUGCGUACCUUUUGUAUAAUGGGUCAGCGACUUAUAUUCUGUAGCAAGGUUAACCGAAUAGGGGAGCCGAAGGGAAACCGAGUCUUAACUGGGCGUUAAGUUGCAGGGUAUAGACCCGAAACCCGGUGAUCUAGCCAUGGGCAGGUUGAAGGUUGGGUAACACUAACUGGAGGACCGAACCGACUAAUGUUGAAAAAUUAGCGGAUGACUUGUGGCUGGGGGUGAAAGGCCAAUCAAACCGGGAGAUAGCUGGUUCUCCCCGAAAGCUAUUUAGGUAGCGCCUCGUGAAUUCAUCUCCGGGGGUAGAGCACUGUUUCGGCAAGGGGGUCAUCCCGACUUACCAACCCGAUGCAAACUGCGAAUACCGGAGAAUGUUAUCACGGGAGACACACGGCGGGUGCUAACGUCCGUCGUGAAGAGGGAAACAACCCAGACCGCCAGCUAAGGUCCCAAAGUCAUGGUUAAGUGGGAAACGAUGUGGGAAGGCCCAGACAGCCAGGAUGUUGGCUUAGAAGCAGCCAUCAUUUAAAGAAAGCGUAAUAGCUCACUGGUCGAGUCGGCCUGCGCGGAAGAUGUAACGGGGCUAAACCAUGCACCGAAGCUGCGGCAGCGACGCUUAUGCGUUGUUGGGUAGGGGAGCGUUCUGUAAGCCUGCGAAGGUGUGCUGUGAGGCAUGCUGGAGGUAUCAGAAGUGCGAAUGCUGACAUAAGUAACGAUAAAGCGGGUGAAAAGCCCGCUCGCCGGAAGACCAAGGGUUCCUGUCCAACGUUAAUCGGGGCAGGGUGAGUCGACCCCUAAGGCGAGGCCGAAAGGCGUAGUCGAUGGGAAACAGGUUAAUAUUCCUGUACUUGGUGUUACUGCGAAGGGGGGACGGAGAAGGCUAUGUUGGCCGGGCGACGGUUGUCCCGGUUUAAGCGUGUAGGCUGGUUUUCCAGGCAAAUCCGGAAAAUCAAGGCUGAGGCGUGAUGACGAGGCACUACGGUGCUGAAGCAACAAAUGCCCUGCUUCCAGGAAAAGCCUCUAAGCAUCAGGUAACAUCAAAUCGUACCCCAAACCGACACAGGUGGUCAGGUAGAGAAUACCAAGGCGCUUGAGAGAACUCGGGUGAAGGAACUAGGCAAAAUGGUGCCGUAACUUCGGGAGAAGGCACGCUGAUAUGUAGGUGAGGUCCCUCGCGGAUGGAGCUGAAAUCAGUCGAAGAUACCAGCUGGCUGCAACUGUUUAUUAAAAACACAGCACUGUGCAAACACGAAAGUGGACGUAUACGGUGUGACGCCUGCCCGGUGCCGGAAGGUUAAUUGAUGGGGUCAGCGCAAGCGAAGCUCUUGAUCGAAGCCCCGGUAAACGGCGGCCGUAACUAUAACGGUCCUAAGGUAGCGAAAUUCCUUGUCGGGUAAGUUCCGACCUGCACGAAUGGCGUAAUGAUGGCCAGGCUGUCUCCACCCGAGACUCAGUGAAAUUGAACUCGCUGUGAAGAUGCAGUGUACCCGCGGCAAGACGGAAAGACCCCGUGAACCUUUACUAUAGCUUGACACUGAACAUUGAGCCUUGAUGUGUAGGAUAGGUGGGAGGCUUUGAAGUGUGGACGCCAGUCUGCAUGGAGCCGACCUUGAAAUACCACCCUUUAAUGUUUGAUGUUCUAACGUUGACCCGUAAUCCGGGUUGCGGACAGUGUCUGGUGGGUAGUUUGACUGGGGCGGUCUCCUCCUAAAGAGUAACGGAGGAGCACGAAGGUUGGCUAAUCCUGGUCGGACAUCAGGAGGUUAGUGCAAUGGCAUAAGCCAGCUUGACUGCGAGCGUGACGGCGCGAGCAGGUGCGAAAGCAGGUCAUAGUGAUCCGGUGGUUCUGAAUGGAAGGGCCAUCGCUCAACGGAUAAAAGGUACUCCGGGGAUAACAGGCUGAUACCGCCCAAGAGUUCAUAUCGACGGCGGUGUUUGGCACCUCGAUGUCGGCUCAUCACAUCCUGGGGCUGAAGUAGGUCCCAAGGGUAUGGCUGUUCGCCAUUUAAAGUGGUACGCGAGCUGGGUUUAGAACGUCGUGAGACAGUUCGGUCCCUAUCUGCCGUGGGCGCUGGAGAACUGAGGGGGGCUGCUCCUAGUACGAGAGGACCGGAGUGGACGCAUCACUGGUGUUCGGGUUGUCAUGCCAAUGGCACUGCCCGGUAGCUAAAUGCGGAAGAGAUAAGUGCUGAAAGCAUCUAAGCACGAAACUUGCCCCGAGAUGAGUUCUCCCUGACCCUUUAAGGGUCCUGAAGGAACGUUGAAGACGACGACGUUGAUAGGCCGGGUGUGUAAGCGCAGCGAUGCGUUGAGCUAACCGGUACUAAUGAACCGUGAGGCUUAACCUUACAACGCCGAAGGUGUUU
rnacentral:rRNA from 1 species